ensembl:ncRNA C14F11.18 ncRNA
CUAAAUUUUUGUAAUUUCUAAAAAAAGAGUAACUGUUAUGCAGUUUUUAUUUUUAUUUUUGGACAGUUUAUUCUUACUUUUCUUCAAAUUUAGGAGUAAGAGUGGGAAUUUGUCUGAAUUUG